rnacentral:rRNA from 1 species
UUGCUACUUACAUCAUAGUAAUAAUGAUGCAAGAUCAACAAUGUUGAAUAAAGUUCUAGGUAGAAUUUUGAUAAUGACGGUAUAGGCCUAUGUGUCUUGACCAAUUACGUGCCAGCAGUCGCGGUAAUACGUAGAAGGCUAGCGUUAUUCAUGUUUAAUCGGUUUAAAGGGUACCUAGACGGCAGAUCAAGCUUAUGUAAAAAAGGACUAAUCUGCUAGAGUUACUUGUGAGGGGGCUAUAAAGUACUGCUGGUGUAGGGAUGAAAUUCUAUGAUACCUAAUUUCGAAAGAAAAGCUAUGGCACAGGUAUAGGCGAAGGCAUCCCCUUAUGUGAUAACUGACGUUGAGGGACGAAGGCUUCGGACCACGAACAGGAUUAGAGACCCUGGUAGUUGAAGCAGUAAACGAUGAAUGUCAUAGAUUAGAUAUAUAAGUUUCUUCUAUAAAUGAAAGUGUAAGCAUUCCACCUCAAGAGUAAUUUGGCAACAUUGGAACUGAAAUCAUUAGACCGUUUCUGAAAUUAGUAGUGAAGUAUGUUGUUUAAUUUGAUAAUCCGCAAAAAACCUUACCACAACUUGAAUAUUUAUUAUGUUUAGCCAAUAACAUAUACUUACAAGCGUUGCACGGCUGUCGUCAGUUGAUGUCGCGAGACUGUGGUUUACUCCACUAAUUAACGUAAACCCUUGCUUUAUUUUUAGAUAAAGUAGAUAAUCACCGAUAUGGCGAUGCUAACAGGGACUAAGGCAAGCCAUCAUGGCCUAAAUGUUGUGGGCUAUAGACGUGCCACAUUGACCUUACAAAAGGGU